CACUUUCAGUAGGGAGGAAGGUAGUGUAGUUAACACCUGCAUUAUUUGACGUUACCUACAGAAGAAGCACCGGCUAACUCCGUGCCAGCAGCCGCGGUAAUACGGAGGGUGCGAGCGUUAAUCGGAAUUACUGGGCGUAAAGCGCAUGCAGGCGGCCUGUUAAGUCAGAUGUGAAAGACCCGGGGCGUUAACCUCGGAAUUGCAUUUGAAACUGGCAGGCUAGAGUCUUGUAGAGGGGGGUAGGAAUUUCAGGUGUAGCGGUGAAAUGCGUAGAGAUCUGAAGGAAUACCAGUGGCGAAGGCGGCCCCCUGGACAAAGACUGACGCUCAGAUGCGAAAGCGUGGGGAGCAAACAGGAUUAGAUACCCUGGUAG
rnacentral:rRNA from 1 species